CCGAGCCGCUGCUGUUUGAGGUGCGGAGGUCGGGUCCGCCAGAUCCGACGACCCAGGUCUCCUCGUCAGCGGAUCCGGUGGCCCAA
rnacentral:pre_miRNA from 1 species